CCCGAUCUCCCAAGCAUCCAACGUUUCCAAGCUUGAAUCUAACACGAGUGAUUCCACACUCAAGUUGAUUUCCCUAGUUACAAUUUCGGGUUGGUGGUCUUCUCUCCUUAGAGAGGAAAUGUUUCAAGUGUUAUAAACUCAUAAUAUUCAUCAAAAUCUUCUAAUGAAACUCUACAUUAUUCUAUCUAUAGUGUUUACAA
rnacentral:lncRNA from 1 species